CAUCUGAAACAAAAAUACAAGCACAGCCACAGUUUUAAGAGGCUGUCCAACACACAAGAACAUUUAAAUCAGGGCGAAUUUUCAACCAUGUAAAAGUUUGGCAACUAGCUAAGUUUAUUACCUAAAUUUUUAUUCUAAGCAAUGAAGAGAAAGUGUUCCUCGCGGGAAUGUUUACUUCAGGCAACAAGUACGUAAGAUAAGAGAAUAAAUGUAUCUUCUGGAACUGCCUAGUUUGUUAGCUUAGACUGGAUAUCGACUUUCAAAAGUUAAAAAUUACUUAAAGAUUAAUCCCACCUUUACUGUAAAAAUCAAUAAUCCUGAAUUCCAUUUUUAGACCACCCAAUGCAAUAUCACAAUUAUUUUCCACAGCCAUCCUAUCUAUUAAAACUAUAUAUUGUAAGAUGUCAACAGCAGCAACUUGGGGAAUGUAUGUACAUCCAGCACAUCCUUUUCAAGAGAAGAAACAGAAGCAACAGAAAACAGCUAUCACAAAAUAUGUUGCAGGCAAGACAUAUUGCUGCAUGAAACAGUCGCCAGGACCUGAGCAUUCAGCAUGACAACUCUCACCCAGCAGGGACUUUCAGCUAUCGCCAUCCCCAAUGAGACAAAACGUGUCACAAAACACUGUGCCAGAACAACAGCAGCAGCUUGUACAGAAGCACUUGUUCAGAUUAUUGCUCAUCUGUUGAAGGCUCGGGAUAGAAAACCAUCAUCUCUGCACCUACAGUUAAAAGACUGAGAACUUAAUGGGAACACCAAUUACUUCAGCAACUUAAAUUUAGGCUGUACAACCCAUCCUGACAAGUCACAAAUCUCUAGAGAUCUAUUUUCUGAUAAGGUGAAGCUCUGAUCUCAGGACUAAUAACCUACCUGGUUGCCCUUACCGUUUUCAGAGAAUACCCAGCCAGCACGACUUCUCAACCACGGAAGUGAGCUCACCUGUCUGAACAGCCCUUCUCAGAAAUCCUGCAACUGACAUUUUAUAAAAAAAAGUACGUACUGAGCUGCCAUGGCUGCAAACAGACAAUACCGAGCACCGACACCCUAACUGUGGGCAACAAGCGACGAACAAAAAAGCUUUCAAGGAUGUGUUCUGAGAAGAGCUUCUGAAGAGCCAAAACUAAAUACCAGAACGGUCUACAGAAAGCAGUGUGCUACCUUGGAAGGCACAGAAGGUUAGCGGAAGAUUCUUACAGAAGGAAACUCAAGUAGACUUUUACUGAAGAGCCACGAGGAUCUGCAGAUAUCCUCCUUAAACAUGUUGUUAUAUAUCAAAGCUUCUUUCUCUGCAAAAACUCCUGGAUCACUGCAUCAUAAACUAUCUUCUUACUGGCACUGUCUUCUGUAUUAUCACUACUAACUAUGCUACACCAAGAAAGUAUUAUGGUUAACCUGUAUAAGUGAUACCAGCCUUUUAACUGUCAUGAAUUCAGGCUGAGAGAACUGGGCCUGUUUAGCCUGGAAAA